rnacentral:rRNA from 1 species
UCAAGAAACUUCCACAAUGGGCGAAAGCCUGAUGGAGCGACGUCGCGUGAUGGACGAAGUGCUUCGGCACGUAAACAUCUUUUAUGUGGGAUGAAAUUAUUGACAGUACCACAUGAAUAAGGGGCUCCUAACCCUGUGCCAGCAGGAGCGGUAAUACAGAGGCCCCAAGCGUUAUCCGGAAUCACUGGGCGUAAAGGGUGCGCAGGCGGUUGGGUGUGUCAGAUGUGAAAUCCCGAGGCUUAACCUCGGAACUGCGUCUGAAACUACUCGACUAGAGUACUGGAGAGGGUAACGGAAUUCACGGUGUAGCAGUGAAAUGCGUAGAUAUCGUGAGGAACACCAGAGGCGAAGGCGGUUACCUGGACAGUUACUGACGCUCAGGCACGAAAGCAUGGGGAGCAAACAGGAUUAGAUACCCGCGUAGUCCCUGAGCGGGCUGGCAAGGCGCAU